ACCAGCAACAUUUUGGGUAGGAUGUGGAGGAAGGUAUUGUACUCUUCAGUGGGGACAGGGACUGGUCUUUGUUGGUCAGACUGAAGGUGAUAAAUGAAUGACAAGCGUGAGUACAUAGGAAUUUCAGAGCAUAUAGUUUUCUGUGCAAAUAACCUCAGUGACUAUGGGGAAAAGGAGGAUGUUAAGGUCUUCAUGGAUCUGAAAACCAGCAUUUCUCCCCAUUUUGUGCAGCAGCAGUAGCUGGCAGACACCUCCCCAUCACUGAGCUGUAGGAGGUGCCUGCAUGAUCUGGAGUGUUUCCCUCCCACCCAGCAGCACACACACAUUGCUGCUGCUGACCACAGGGCACCUGCUGCCUGUUGCAGUCUGGCUUAUGUUGGUGCUUUACGCAUCUAAUUUAAAAGAUUCCCCACGCUGCUUUCUGGGAUAAAGCAAUGGUCCGGGCAGUGCACCACACAUCUCUGCUCUUCCGCCUCAGGCCUGCCCGCUGGAGUGGCCACAGCAUCCACAGCUCUCCACCAGAGGGGAAAGUGGGACCGGUGGAGACAAUCAUUGGAUUCUCAGCAUUUUCACUGGCAGUUCUUGGACCAGCUGGAUGGAUCCUGUACCACCUUCCAAGCUAUAAAAUGGAAUAAAAAACAUCCCUCUGAAAUUAAGAUCUGUAAGCUGCGCUUUGUCAGUGAAUCCAGCAUCUUGAUCUGAGGCCCAGAUAUGCAUUUGGAAACUUUCCUACAGAUUUUAAUGAGUUUUGGAUAAGGGCCUAUCCAGGGAAAAAUCCAUGCCAGAAACUGAAGUGAAUCCGGGAGAGCGCUCUGCAAAACACUGCUCUUGCAUGCCAUGAAUAUAUCCACUGAUAUCAAUUAGGCUGUUCUGCAGAAUCUUUUGUAAAAAAGCAUUUUGAACAUUUCUGUGUGCCUGCCUGUCCUGCACCCAAUUUUGUCCUCCAUGUCUCACCUGGUAAUAGCUAAAUAAA